rnacentral:lncRNA from 1 species
UUGCGCUUGUUAAACAUACCCUCUCAGUUAUACCCGUUUGCUUAUUCUCUGUCUUUCGUGCCCCGGCUUAUUUUCUAAAGGCUAUUAGGAGUAUCGUCAUUAAGUUUUAGUGGAGAAAAAUUCUCAAAGUGGCAUCUGUUGGAAGAAAUAUAAAGAUCUUUGCAAACCAAUGAAUCUGGGAGGGCUUGAAGAGUUUCAAUCAAGCUCGUUUGGCUAAAAUUGUUUGGUGUCUCUUUUGGUCUCCCAAUUCGCUGUUGGGGCAGAUUCUCCUCAACA